UAGGGAAUCUUCUACAAUGGACGCAAGUCUGAUGGAGCAACGCCGCGUGAGUGAAGAAGGGUUUCGGCUCGUAAAGCUCUGUUGUUAAAGAAGAACGUGGGUAAGAGUAACUGUUUACCCAGUGACGGUAUUUAACCAGAAAGCCACGGCUAACUACGUGCCAG
rnacentral:rRNA from 1 species